ensembl:lncRNA
CUCCCGCCCGGGGCGCGCGGGCCCGGCCGCCCCCGUGUGCCCACGAGGAGUAACUGCAGGCCCGUCGUUUCGAGCAUCUUUACAGGCACCGGUCGACGCGCGGAGGUCAGCGCCUCGCGGUCCUCGUGGAAGCUUGUCCCCCGUGCCGCAACACACCACAGCCCACCUGAAGACGCGGCUCCGGGCUCAGGACCCCAGGGUCCUCGGAGGGGUCCGCACUGGCUCAGCGCUGAGCGCAGCCCAGGGGCAACUGCCCUUCCGUCCACCCCCGUCCCUCUCCGGCCGUUUCCUCCAAACCACCAGCUGUCCCAGAGCCCUUCGAGGGCAGGACCGUGUCUCCGGGUGACAGGCUGCCUCCAUCCCUGGACUCCGAGAAGAGGAAACAGCAGUGAGGCUCCAGUUUUCCCAGGGGGAGCUCUCCUGUCCACUGUGGAGCCAUCAAGGUGGGAAAGGUCGGUUCCUGAGAUGCCACUCCCCACCCCACUUCCCACCCCUGAGUCUGUGAGUCAGAGGCACUGGGACAUCCUGGGGGAAUGACAGAGAGAGUGCCCUCGAAGAGCUCAGUGAUACAGGGCAGUGGUCCUCACCAUCUCCCCAUGGAAUUCUCCAGGAGAGUCCCUGCCAAACCAAAUGGAUCCUUGUGGGUGUCGGUAACUUCAAUCGUAGAUGCCAUGCUGGUGUCUUUCCCAGGACAGAUCAACACAGCCUUUGGUUGUUGAUCUGGUGAAGCAUUCUUUCCAGUCCCCAUCAGAGAGCAGUGGAGCGGUGUGCGUUUACCUGGGAAGGACAACAGUGUGCACCCGUGGUCUUGCCCAUGGGCAUUGAGCCAUCUUGCAGAGCAUCCUAUUUGUCUGCUACACUGAUGACAUCAGGAUAACUGGACCUGAGGAACAAGUAUCUGCUUCUCUCUCUCAGCGUGUCGGCCAUCCACGUCGCGGCGUGUCAGCGUCAGGGAUCCUCUCCGUCUGCAGCUGAGCCACGUCCCGCCGUCAGGACGGAGCACGGUUGUUAAACCACGUGUCUGUUGAGGAGCCCAUGGGCUGUCCCCGCUCUUCGGCGGGUGUGACAGCGAUACCAGGAAGAUUCCCCAACGCGGUUUUGUGAGAGUACAUGGUUUCACUUCCUCCGAGUCUGUCCCUAAGAGCAGGGUCGUGGGUCAUUGUACAGAAGGGACUUUCAAUGUCGAAACCAAACUGGGGUUUGGUUGGGUUGGCCGCCCUCCAGAUUACCUGACCUCCCAGCGGCCUGCACCUGCUCUUCUCUCCUCCGGGACGCUGCCUCCACUUUCCUCCUGCUCCUCGUCCGCGCCUCCGCGGGGCCCUCUGCCAGAGCCCCUCGCUGCCACCCCGUCACUGAUGGCGUUCUUGGAUCCUGACUCGGGCCUUCUCGCCCUCCGUGUACACUCUCUCCUGGGUCAUCUCCUCCCUCCAGGGGCUUCAGAUCACCUGCACAGUGAGGACGCCCAGGGCUGCACCUUCAGGAGAAAGCCUGAAUUCCUUGCUGGACUCCCAUCCCCGUCCUCCCAUGCUCGCCAUUCCGACUCACUCUCCAGUCCUACCCUCUCUGACUGCAUCCCUUGCCCUCGCCUUCUGCAAAAUUCCUCACUACCCUUCCAGCACCCGCCUCGAUGUCACCUCCUCCAGGAAGACUGCCCUGAUCUAUGAGGGAGUGGUGGGCCUUUCCUCCGUCCCCCUGGUUGUUUGACUCACUGCAUGGCAAGCCCCCCUCUGCUGAGCAGCCUCCCCCCGGACUGUCGGCUCUGGGGCGGCAGGGAUGGCUCUUCAUUCGUCACCACUUGUACCCCAGUUCCGAGCUGGGCACCCAGCAUGAACACACGCUUGGUGAGCAUCUGUUGUCUUGAAGGGAACAGAGAAUAAAUGUGAAGUUGGAUGCCCCUCAGGGGUUUGAGCUCAUUACCUGGAGAAGGCACACCUGGGGGAGUCAGCAUUGCAGCCUGCCAGGUAGGCGCCAGCAGGCAGGGCCGGGAAGGUGGCACAUGUGGCUGCCGGCCCCUGGGAGAGGCCUUAGUGGACAAGCCCCUGGUGCCAGGAAAGACAGCGGGGCUGGUCCUGUGGCAGAGAGUCCGAGCAUGGCUGAGCUGCCCUCUGGCCUCAGGGCUCUAGGCAGCAGGUCUGGCCUCUCUGAGACUGUCCCCCUCCUUGGGGGGACCAAGAUCUGGCUCAGCUGAGGAGACACACACCCUUGGUCCUGAGCCUCCCUGGGACCUGGAGUCCAGGAUGUGGAGACACAGGAAACCAGAAGGGGACACGUCACAACGGCCUUGGAGCAUGUUGGCGUCCACUCAGACCAUGGCAGAGGUCCACAGACGGUUCUUAGGGUUCAAGGAGCCGGCGUUAAGUACCACUGAAGUAUAG